GAUGAAGAAGACGGGUUUGACAGACGUGAUCCGCUAGAACGCGCCUUCGUCGCCGUUCGGGAUUAUGAGUUCACAAUAUUCAUAUGCCAUCUGGAGUGCAGAGAAGCAAAGCAUUUCCACUGCCCAUAUUGCCCCAAGACUUAUGUAAAUAGGAGUGAUUUUACCAAACACAUUCCACAAUGUGAGUCAGUAUGUUAUCGAGCCCCAGGUUCAACAGCGAGAGCCCCAGAUGUAACCAGUGCAUCAGCGAGAGCCCCAGAUGUGACCAGUGCAUCAGCGAGAGCCCCAGAUGUGACCAGUGCAUCGGCGAGAGCCCCAGAUGUGACCAGUGCAUCGGCGAGAGCCCCAGAUGUGACCAGUGCAUCGGCGAGAG
ensembl:lncRNA